ensembl:snoRNA
CCAUGAUGUCCAGCACUGGGCUAUGAUCACUCCUGAGGACACAGUGUUCCCCAAGACCUUUGACACCUGGGGAUCUGAG